rnacentral:rRNA from 1 species
AAGUCGAGCGAGCGGAACCAACAGAUUUACUUCGGUAAUGACGUUGGGAAAGCGAGCGGCGGAUGGGUGAGUAACACGUGGGGAACCUGCCCCUAAGUCUGGGAUACCAUUUGGAAACAGGUGCUAAUACCGGAUAAUAAAGCAGAUCGCAUGAUCAGCUUUUGAAAGGCGGCGUAAGCUGUCGCUAAGGGAUGGCCCCGCGGUGCAUUAGCUAGUUGGUAAGGUAACGGCUUACCAAGGCGACGAUGCAUAGCCGAGUUGAGAGACUGAUCGGCCACAUUGGGACUGAGACACGGCCCAAACUCUACGGGAGGCAGCAGUAGGGAAUCUUCCACAAUGGACGCAAGUCUGAUGGAGCAACGCCGCGUGAGUGAAGAAGGUUUUCGGAUCGUAAAGCUCUGUUGUUGGUGAAGAAGGAUAGAGGUAGUAACUGGCCUUUAUUUGACGGUAAUCAACCAGAAAGUCACGGCUAACUACGUGCCAGCAGCCGCGGUAAUACGUAGGUGGCAAGCGUUGUCCGGAUUUAUUGGGCGUAAAGCGAGCGCAGGCGGAAAAAUAAGUCUAAUGUGAAAGCCCUCGGCUUAACCGAGGAACUGCAUCGGAAACUGUUUUUCUU